AUUGAACGCUGGCGGCAUGCCUUACACAUGCUAGUCGAACGGUAACAGGUCUUCGGAUGCUGACGAGUGGCGAACGGGUGAGUAAUACAUCGGAACGUGCCCGAGCGUGGGGGAUAACGAGGCGAAAGCUUUGCUAAUACCGCAUACGAUCUACUGAUGAAAACGGGGGGGACUUCGGACCUCGCGCGGACGGAGCGGCCGAUGGCAGAUGAGGUAGUUGGUGGGAUAAAAGCUCACCAAGCCAACGAUCUGUAGCUGGUCUGAGAGGAUGAUCAGCCACACUGGGACUGAGACACGGCCCAGACUCCUACGGGAGGCAGCAGUGGGGAAUUUUGGACAAUGGGCGAAAGCCUGAUCCAGCCAUGCCGCGUGCAGGAUGAAGGCCUUCGGGUUGUAAACUGCUUUUGUACGGAACGAAAAGACUCUGGUUAAUACCUGGGGUCCAUGACGGUACCGUAAGAAUAAGCACCGGCUAACUACGUGCCAGCCGCCGCCGUAAGAC
rnacentral:rRNA from 1 species